CAAUAGCGUAUAUUAAAGUUGUUGCAGUUAAAAGCUCGUAGUUGGAUUUCUGUUCUCGAGGAUCGGUCCGCCUCACGGUGAGCACUGGUUUUUCUUGGGACAUCCUCUCGAAGGCGGGUGGUGCACUUAAUUGUGUGCUGCUUGGAUUCGGGACCUUUACUUUGAAAAAUUAGAGUGUUCAAAGCAGGCGUCGGCUUGAAUACAUUAGCAUGGAAUAAUGGAAUAGGACUUUGGUUCUAUUUUGUUGGUUUCUAGGACCGAAGUAAUGAUUAAUAGGGACAGUUGGGGCAGUAUGUAUUUAAUUGUCGAUGAGGUUGAAAAUUCUUGGAUUUAUGAAAAGACUAACUACUGCGAAAAGCAUUUGCCAAGGAUGUUUUCAUUAAUCAAGAACGAAAGUUAGGGGAUCGAAGACGAUCAGAU
rnacentral:rRNA from 1 species